rnacentral:rRNA from 1 species
AUUGAACGCUGGCGGCAUGCCUUACACAUGCAAGUCGAACGGCAGCAUGAUCUAGCUUGCUAGAUUGAUGGCGAGUGGCGAACGGGUGAGUAAUACAUCGGAACGUGCCCUGUAGUGGGGGAUAACUAGUCGAAAGAUUAGCUAAUACCGCAUACGACCUGAGGGUGAAAGUGGGGGACCGCAAGGCCUCAUGCUAUAGGAGCGGCCGAUGUCUGAUUAGCUAGUUGGUGAGGUAAAGGCUCACCAAGGCGACGAUCAGUAGCUGGUCUGAGAGGACGAUCAGCCACCCUGGGACUGAGACACGGCCCAGACUCCUACGGGAGGCAGCAGUGGGGAAUUUUGGACAAUGGGCGAAAGCCUGAUCCAGCAAUGCCGCGUGUGUGAAGAAGGCCUUCGGGUUGUAAAGCACUUUUGUCCGGAAAGAAAUGGCUCUGGUUAAUACCUGGGGUCGAUGACGGUACCGGAAGAAUAAGAACCGGCUAACUACGUG